UGUAAGGGUAUUAUAGUAAUAUCAUUCAGAUCAAUACUUUAUUUUUCUCCAGAAAAGGAAAGAGCCACAACCGAAGCCAAGUCUGAAGAGGAAAGUGAGCUUUGCUGCUUCUAAGAUGUUAAUGGCGACGAAGGCCAGAGAUUUCGCUGGCUCAUCAACCGACCUCGUUGACCCACUUUCGUCUUCUUACUUGCGGUUCCUCUGCUGCUACUGCUAUUUAUCCUGCUCAAUUAGUGCCUAAUCAACCACCAGGCUCGAUCAGGUGGGUCAAGACUCAAUACUCAAGAGGGAAGGGGUUUUCUUCCACAAUGGGUUGAAGAUAGCAAAUGUAGUUCCCUUAAUAGCCUUGGUGUGGUGGCUUGAGAAGAUUUUCUUUUGGGGGCUGACCUUAUCGCUCUGCCCUAUCGUUUUCCGGUUCUCUCUAUCUGUCGAUUGAUUCAGAAGAGUCAGGAGAUUUUGAGUCUCUUUCAUUCCAAUUAGCUCGUCAAGUUCCUGGUGACUUUAGGAUGUGUUGAACUGGUGGAAGGCUGCUUCUUGGUGGGGUUUGAGAGUACUUCUUGCAAGUGACAUGGAACCAGUACAGAAAUAUGAUUUGACUACUCUCAAGUCGCUAUCAGCUGAGGUCCUCGUGGAGUAUCAAAUGAAGUAGCCGCCCUUCACACUGUUGUGCGAUUGCAUUGGGGGCACUUCCCCACUAUAAUAAUGAAGGAAGAAUUACUGUUGAUUGGAGGUGUUUCUGGCACAACCAAGUUGGCAAAUUCCAGUUCAGGAUCCAAAAGAAAUCCAUCAUCAUAAGAUGUGUCAUGUGAUGAGGGAUCUUACCCAGCUGGUGAAAAUUCUUUUGUCAUAGCCUCAUAGGAAACUGUCACAACCCAAUUUUGAGAUCCUUGUGACAGGCGAGUUAGUCUUGCAUUUUGAUUGUCCAGUUUAUACAAAUAUUAUAAUUGAUAAGUGUUUCUGGGGACUUUGUCUGGAUUUA